UAGCCAUGCAUGUCUAAGUAUAAGCAAUUAUACCGUGAAACUGCGAAUGGCUCAUUAAAUCAGUUAUCGUUUAUUUGAUAGUACCUUACUACUUGGAUAACCGUGGUAAUUCUAGAGCUAAUACAUGCUAAAAACCCCAACUUCGGGAGGGGUGUAUUUAUUAGAUAAAAAACCAAUGCCCUUCGGGGCUCCUUGGUGAUUCACAAUAACUUCUCAGAUCGCAUGGCUUUACGCCGGCGACGGUUCAUUCAAAUUUCUGCCCUAUCAACUUUCGAUGGUAAGGUAGUGGCUUACCAUGGUUUCAACGGGUAACGGGGAAUUAGGGUUCGAUUCCGGAGAGGGGGCCGGAGGAACGGCCACCACAUCCAAGGAAGGCAGCAGGCGCGCAAAUUACACAAUUCCGAUACGGAGAUGUAGUGACAAUAAAUACUGAUACAGGGCUCUUUUGGGUCUUGUAAUUGGAAUGAGUACAAUUUAAAUCUCUUAACGAGGAACAAUUGGAGGGCAAGUCUGGUGCCAGCAGCCGCGGUAAUUCCAGCUCCAAUAGCGUAUAUUAAAGUUGUUGCAGUUAAAAAGCUCGUAGUUGAACCUUUGGCCUGGCUGGCAGGUCCGCCUCACCGCGUGCACUUGUCCGGCCGGGCCUUUUCUUCUGGAGAACCGCAUGCCCUUCACUGGGUGUGUUGGGGACCAGGACUUUUACUUUGAAAAAAUUAGAGUGUUCAAAGCAGGCCUUUGCUCGAAUACGUUAGCAUGGAAUAAUAGAAUAGGACGUGCGGUCCUAUUUUGUUGGUUUCUAGGACCGCCGUAAUGAUUAAUAGGGACAGUCGGGGGCAUCAGUAUUCAAUUGUCAGAGGUGAAAUUCUUGGAUUUAUUGAAGACUAACUACUGCGAAAGCAUUUGCCAAGGAUGUUUUCAUUAAUCAGUGAACGAAAGUUAGGGGAUCGAAGACGAUCAGAUACCGUCGUAGUCUUAACCAUAAACUAUGCCGACUAGGGAUCGGGCGGUGUUUCUAUUGUGACCCGCUCGGCACCUUACGAGAAAUCAAAGUGUUUGGGUUCUGGGGGGAGUAUGGUCGCAAGGCUGAAACUUAAAGAAAUGACGGAAGCACCACCA
rnacentral:rRNA from 1 species